GAACAAGUUGUUCUCCAUACCAUAUACUCAACAGUAAAACUGGGGAAGAGCUGCUUCUGAAGUAGCCUUUGCUCAGUGAGCUACAGGGAAUCAGUCUGGUGGUGUAUCCCUAGGGAAAGACCUGGUGACAGCUUACAAGCGUACUUGGCUGGCUGAGGAAACUACUGCUGAAACCCAGGAGUCUCCAUACUCCAGCAAACAAGAGACCUGGGAUGAAGAAGUGGCAGUUUCUCUCCCGGAUUUGUGAAAGGUUAUUUCUGCUCCUACAUGCACUGCUGAGA